GGCUGGUUAGCUAAGUUGGUUAGAGCGUGGUGCUAAUAACGCCAAAGUCGCGGGUUCGAUCCCCGUACGGGCCA
rnacentral:tRNA from 1 species